CAAAUAAAAGUUAAAACUAUAGUGAAGUUUAUUAUUUAUUUAUUACUUUUGUUAAAAAAAAAACCCUAAAAAAGCUCAGGGUGCGUGUAAUUCUGGCCCUGGAGUCGUUGAGUGGACGAGGGGUUUAAGAAGGGUGUUUCAUGGAUGCAUGUUAUGACACCUCUUUUGUUUUAUGUCAGUGCUUGAGGACGUGGCUGAAUAGCCACCUCUAAGGAACCCUGUCAAACUUGAAAGGGAAUGGAGAGGAGAUGUGAGAGAGGGGAUCAAUGAUUUUCGCUCCCUUUAGUAGGACUGGAGGCAAAAAACAGAUGGUUGGGAGUAGCGAACAACCUUGGUCAAUAGAGUUUGGUGUUGAUUGGUGAGAAAAAAGGCAUGUUACCCCUGUAAGAGAUCUUUUCCCCUGUAAGAGAUCAAGACUAGCAUGGCUAAGGGCUUCAAAAAGCUAGAAGUCUCCACCGCCAUUACCAUGAGAACCAAGUGGAAAAAGAAGUGCAUGGGGAGAUUAAAGGGAGCGUAGAAAGAUAUGGCAGAGGUUUAAGUGCAUUUUCGAUUGUGGUCUUAUUUUUUUAGCCUGUUUUAAAUCAAACGGUGGAUUAUAUAGUUUUCUCUUAUGUUUUGAUUAAUCAAAUGGUGGGUUUUAUCUAGGCAUUUGCAAUCUAAAUCUGAUUUAUAAUAUGUUCUACCUUUUCCUAUGAUCCGUGAGAGAAAAGCUUCAGUUAUUGUAACAACUUCUGUGAAUGGGCACCUUGCAGCAGUUGUUGUAACGACUUCUGUAAAUGGGCACUUUGCAGCAGUUGAUGAUGCUGUUUUUUAACAAAGCUUGAUGUUGAAAGAGGUUUUGGGGAUAAACAUGGCAUGCUGUCAUCUCAAGAAUCAAGAACUUUUGUAAAUCUUGGUGUUGUGCUUAAUAUUUCCAUGACUGGUCAUGAAUCUGAUAAGGUUUCUUUUGAUUUCUUUGUUUGGAGUGGAAAAUAUGUGGAAUGCUUGCUUCUCGUGAGUUAGAAAAAUGGGCAGAGAGGGUGCAGUCACUUGUGGAAUUUAUUUCUUUAUUUCUUUUAUAUUUUUUUUUCAUUGUCUUAUGUUGGUUUUAGAUUAUUUCUCUUCUCACCUUUUGCUUUCUUUUUUCCCUUUGUCAUGCAUGUUUCUUUUCGGAUGCUUGGGAGGGGGUUGUGAUUUGGUUUAUUAUUUUUUUAGGAAGGUCUCCUUCCUUCAUUGAUUGAAGGCUUUGUUAGAAAAUUCCUUUUUAUCACUUCUUUAUGGUUUUUUUUCCUAGUUAAAAUCUAUUAUCUUAACUGAUUGGUUCAUGGGCUUAGAAAGGGGCGGGUAGAAGUUGGCUUUGAUUUUGGGUUCUGGGAUUCUAUUUUUUGGGAUAUUAUUUUUUUAUCUGAUGUGCUUAUCUCAGGGAAAAAAAAAGGUUAGAGGUUGAGUUUUAGCAGGAUUAGUUCUAGCUUUGGCUAGUUGUCUCCUUUUUCAUAUAUGUGUUUUGCUUGUGAAAAAAAAACUAUGGCUUUUUUGUAGGAGUCUACAUCCUUUAUUGAUUGAGGGUUUUGUAAGAGAUAUGCUCUGAUCAUGUCUCUUCUGUUCUUUCUUUGUUUGACUGGUUAGAGUCUAUUAUCUUAAUUGGCUGGUUAAUGAAACUAGGAAGGGAUGGGUAGAGGUUAGCUUGGGUUGGGAUUUUAGGAUUACAUUUAUGGGUUAGGCGGCCUUUGUCAGUUGUUGUUUGAUGCGCUUAUCUCAUAAAAAAAGUUAUAGUUUGUAUCUUAGCAGGGGGUGGCUUCCAGCCUUGGAAGGCUAUCUCCAUUCCAUGCAUGUGUGUUGUUUAAGUUCAAAAAAAAAAAAAUCUCACUAUCCUCCUACCAGCUGUUACUUAGUUAACGUAAGAGUUAAUGAAUAUAAAAUCUGAAUUCUCUGUGGAUGAUGAAGUUUGUAUAGGAUCUCAUGGCAUUUUGAUCGAUGAGUUAGAUUGCUAAUAUAUUGUUGUCUGUGUUGAUUUUUUUAGGCUUCAAUUUGCACUGUAGUUUUGGUUUUUUUAAUAUAAGGGGCCUGUUUAUGGCGAUUUACUGUUCACUUAUGAUCUGUCUUUUUUAUCCCGGAGUAGGAUACGUUGCUUUGGUUUAUUUCUGGUCUCUCCAUAAGUGUUUUGGUUAUUGCGGUUGAUCUGUUUAGGUGAAGCAUUUUCCUGGCAAUUUGCUUUUGCUUAUCCCACUUUACACAGAUCAUUCUUUUUUUCCCUUACCUGUACUUCCUUUUCGAUUUCAUUGGCAUUUCUUUUAUGCUUUUUGUUGUUGUGGUGGUUCUUAGCUCAUUUUAUUUUAUUUUUUCUCUUUGCCAAGGAAAACUAUGCUUGGAUGGUUGUUGCUGUUUAUUCUUGCACUGUUUUUUUUUUCUGGGUUCAGCUUUAUUGUUUAUGAGUCAACUUGGGGUUUUCCGCUAUUGUUUUUAUAAACGGUGUGACAUGAACGCUUUUGUAUCUUUUGCUUAAUAGAUCAACUAACAUGCAAUCAUUGUCUUUAUUGCCUUGUAUUCGAAACCUUGGCAUCUUGUGCAACAUUUUUUCUUUAGCAACUUAUAAAGCCUAUUGUUCAUCAAUUGAAAUUUUGAACGCUGCUGUCUCAUUUGCAUUUUCUUUUGAUUUUUUUGUUGCCUUCUAUCAUUUUUCCGUUGCAAGUGCCAUUUGGUUCUUCGCAUGGUUUCUUGCUUUAUUUUCCCCUACUCUUUGGAUAUUUUUUUCCAGUUUAGUCUUUAUGUUUACUGAUUUACAUCAGUUUUGGGAUUGUUCAACGAACUCCCUGCUCCUCCUUAAGCUUUGAAUUGAAAUCACCCAGCGACAUAUCGUUCUUUGCUGUUUUACAACUCCGAUUGAUCUUUUUCUCCUAUAGAUUGGAAUCCUCUUUUCUAGUCAGGUCUUUUUGCAUCUUCAUUUAUGUUUGUUGCCAUUCUUAUUUCUUCAGGUUGGCUGUGCCAUUUCCCUUGACUUUGUUGUUCUUUUUUUCCUGUUUCUUAGUUUAGUCUUGCGCUUCGUCACCCUUUCCUAAUCCUCUAAAGGUUGAAUCUCUUCAUUAUUGCCUCUUUCUUUGGAUAGUUUUACGAGGAUUCCAAGGCUUGAAAAGAGCGUGAACAAUGACAAGCUUUUCUAGCGGUUGCUUGAAAAGAGUUGCUGCCUUUUUCUUCACUGUUUCCUCGGUAGUUGUAGGUCAAGGUACACUGACCACACAGCCUUUCCAGUGCUGAAAUGGUGUUAUCUAGAAGUUUGACUUGCGUACAACUUGUGAACCCGCCCUUCCUUGCUCUGCUUCCAUCUUGACAUCCCCAUUAAAUGUUGCUCCAUUUUGUGCACUGCAUGUUCUUUAUUUUUUUUGUGCACCUCUUGCUGAAGUAGAAUAAACAUUGUUUAUGUUGCUCAAAAAAAUUUACGCUGUCUUUUUGUUUUCAUUUUAAUGCUUGAUUAUCCUUGCGUUCUUUUAAUUCAACAUUAUUGGUUCACUAUCUUAAAUGGAGGGUGGCUAUUCCUUUUUUUUCCAAUGCAUUGCGACCCAUUUUGCCAUUAACGAGCCCGUGUAUGAUUUUCUGCAUUUCUUUCCCACUUGUAAUUCUGUGCAGUCUUUGAGAAUUUUGACUGACUUGAAAUUUUAAUUUAAGAUGAAAUGA